UUUCAGGGAGCUGCUGUCAAGAGGAAGAGCCAACAGGGAAUUCCCUUGUGGUGCAGCGAGUUAAGGAUCUGGCGUUGUCAUUGUAGUGGCACAGGGCAGAGGUCCAAGUUCAAGUUCCAAAAAGACUCAUGGUGUUCCUGAAGAAGACCUUCCUUUCUCUGGGCCCCAGUGUUUUCAUCUGUCAUGGAGAGGAGGUCUGGAUUCUACGAAGCAAGAGAAGGUGGGAGGUGGCCAGGAGGAAGUUUGAAGAGGAGGAGGCAGCUCCACUUGGAAACGUGCCACACCUUCUGCCCUGUGGCACUGAGGGGGACUGGCACCUUGGGACUGGACCCUGGGUGCUUGGAGGCUUCUCUGGGGUCAGGACAGCCAGCUUUUCAAACACACCUGAGCCACAGCCAUGGUGGUCGCUGGCUCUAAAUGAGAAACAUAGAUUGGACUGAUGAAAGGGUUAAAUGUCUACAAAAUGUUAACUAGCCAACUGCAACUCAGCUCCUAGAGUUUACAUCAGUUAUAUGUGAUGGGGCAGGUGGGUCCAUUUGAAUACAUUUGCGGGAUGUGGCUUUUUUUAAAAAAUGUAUUUCUCUUACGUUAUUCAGAUCAAGAGUCAAAUAAGGUCUGUGCAUUAUUGGGGUUUGUUUUGGCUGCACCUAUGGGCACAGAGAAGUUCCUGGGCCAGGGAUUGAAUCUGAGCUGCAGCUGCGACCUACGCCAUAGCUGUGGCAUUUCCAGAUCCUUAAACCCACUGUGCGGGGCUGGGGAUUGAACCUGAGCUACUGUAGCUACCACACUGGGUCCUUAACCUGCUCUACCACAGCAGGAACUCUGAGGGAUGUGGCCUUUGAGAGUAAGAUGCCCAGGGUUUUCAAGCCCCACAAAGAGCAGUCCAGAGAUGUGGAGCCAGUGAAUACCUCCAGACUAGCCCCCUGCUCCAGGGGCUGUGUAGAGGUGACCCUUAGCAGCCAGAACCUUGGGAGAGAGAGAUGGGGGAAGGGCUUGUCUGGGAAUCAGGGAAGGCCCCUUUGGGAGGGUCCCAAAUGGUCCCUGGAGGGGGACUGGUGAGACCCAGCAGGGCCUCUGGGCCAGGCUGAGGCUCCAGGUAGGGCUGCGGUCUUGGCAGGGAGCUGGCAGCCAUAUCUCAAGCUGAGUCCCAACACUUCUCAGGCUGGGUAGGGGCUGGGAUUUCUUCUCUACCCUCACUUGCUAGAAAGGCCAGGGCUGCAUAGGUGCAGAGGUGGUACCAGGGGCUCCAGGUACCCUAGGCCCCUCUAAUCACCAAAAACUCCAUACCUCAAAGCCGCCACCAGAAGCUAAUAUUCUUUGCUGUGGACAGGGCCAUUUUCUCAAUCUUGCAUAAAAGUAUACCUUUAGGAAGCUUGGUGUAUUAUUUUGCUCAGGCUGCCACAGCCAAGUACCAUCGCCAGGGAGGCGUAAAGAACAGAAAGUUGGAGUUCCCGUUGUGGCUCAGUGGUUAAAGAAUCCAACUAGGAACCAUGAGGUUGCGGGUUCCAUCCCUGGCCUCGCUCAGUGGAUUAAGGAUCCGGCGUUGCUGAGAGCUGUGGUGUCGGUCCCAGACACAGCUCUGAUCCUGCAUUAAUGUGGCUGUGGUAGGCCAACAGCUGUAGCUCUGAUUCAACCCCUAGCCUGGGUACUUCCAUAUGUCACAGGUGCAGCCCUAAAAAAAAGCACACACACACACACACACACAAAAGAAUCCAACUGUAGAGGUUUGGGUUGCUUCAGAGGUUCAAUUUGACCCCUGGCCCAGCAAAGUGGGCUAAAGGAUCAGGUAUUGCCAAAGCUACAGUGUAGGUCUCAGGUGUGGCAAGAUUCUGUCCCUGACCCAGGAGAACUUCCAUAUGCUGUGGGUGUGGCCAUUUAAAAAAAAAAAUCUCCAGAUACAGUCAUAUUCUGAGGUCCUGGGGGGUUAAAACUUCAACAUAUAAAUUUGAGGGAUGACACAAUUCAGCCAAUAACACUUGGAGAGUUUUAACCUAAAAUUGGAAGUGAAAACAAUGUUCUGGCUUUGGAAAUGAAGUUUGAAGACUGGUCCCAAGACCACUCCUCAGAGAUGACCCCCAUCCUCCAAGACAUUCUGGAGCCUCUCCUAUCUACCAGUUUUUCAGUAUGCAGAAGUUCCUGGGCCUAGGAUCAAACCUGGGCCACAGCAGCCACCUGAGCCACAGCAAUGACAAUACUGGAUCCUUAACCUGCUAAGCCACCAGUGAACUCCUCUUGCCUACUAGUUUUUUCCAAUUAAAUUUUAUUUUUUUAGGGGCUCACCUGCAGCAUAUGGAAGUUCCCAGGCUAGGGGUCAAAUUGGAGCUGCAGCUGCCAGUCUACACCACAGCCACAGCAAUGCCAGAUCUGAGCCAUAUCUGAGAUCUACAUCAUAGCUCACAGCAACGAAGGAUCCUUAACCCACUGAGUAAGGCCAGGGAUCAAACCUGCAUCCUCAUGGAUAUUAGUCAGGUCCUGAACCCGCUGAGCCACCAGGGAACCCCUCCUGCCUACUAGUUUUGAUCAGGGGUAGUUUGAAGCCUUUGGACAUGGUCCUCACUGAUCAGUGGGCUGGGAGGAAGGUCAGUGUUGUGACCAAAAUGCUAGGAUUUCGAACAGGGUGAGCACCUCUCCCUACCCAACCAAAAACGUCUGGUAAUCUUUGUCCUUGAAAAACUGUCUUUAAAAACAAAGUUUCAAAUUUUCUACCUGGAGCUGCUAUUUAUAGGAUCAUUCAGGAGUCUCUAAGAGAGACAAACUUUUAGCCUUUGUGUUUUCACAAAAGUAGGACAUGUUUAUCGUUGAAAACACAAAUGAAAAAGAAAAAA
rnacentral:lncRNA from 1 species